rnacentral:rRNA from 1 species
CCUACGGGUGGCUGCAGUAGGGAAUAUUGCUCAAUGGGGGAAACCCUGAAGCAGCAACGCCGCGUGAAGGAUGAAGGUUUUAGGAUUGUAAACUCCUUUUGUUAGGGAAGAUUAUGACGGUAUCUAACGGAUAAGCACCGGCUAACUCCGAGCCAGCAGCCGCGGUCAUACUGAGGGUGAAAGCGUUACUCGGAAUUAAUGGGCGUAAAGAGUGCGUGGGUGGGGUAAUAGGUCACAUGUGAAAGCCUGUAGCUUAACUACAGAACUGCAUUUGAAACUGUUACUCUGGAGUGUGGGAGAGGGAGGUGGAAUGCGUGGUGUAGGGGUAAAAUCCGUAGAGAUCAAGAGGAACACUCAUUGCGAAGGCGACCUGCUGGAACGUUACUGACGCUGAGGCACGAAGGCGAGGGGAUCGAAAGGGAUUAGAUACCCGGGUAGUC